rnacentral:rRNA from 1 species
UACAGAGGUCUCAAGCGUUGUUCGGAUUCAUUGGGCGUAAAGGGUGCGUAGGCGGCCCGGUAAGUCCGCUGUGAAAGUCGGGGGCUCAACCCUCGGAUGCCGGUGGAUACUGUCGGGCUCGAGUACGGAAGAGGCGAGUGGAAUUCCUGGUGUAGCGGUGAAAUGCGCAGAUAUCAGGAAGAACACCCGUGGCUAAGGCGGCUCUCUAGUACGGUACUGACGCUGAGACGCGAAAGCGUGGGGAGCGAACAGG